rnacentral:rRNA from 1 species
UACGUAGGGGGCGAGCGUUGUCCGGAAUUACUGGGCGUAAAGAGCGCGUAGGCGGUUUUUUAAGUCAGAUGUGAAAAUCCAGGGCUUAACUCUGGGCGUGCAUUUGAAACUGGGGAACUAGAGUGCAGGAGAGGUAAGUGGAAUUCCUAGUGUAGCGGUGAAAUGCGUAGAUAUUGGGAGGAACACCAGUGGCGAAGGCGGCUUUCUGGACUGUAACUGACGCUGAGGCGCGAAAGCCAGGGUAGCGAACGGGAUUAGAUACCCCGGUAGUCCACGCCGUAAACGAUGAAUACUAGGUGUGGGGGGACUGACCCCCUCCGUGCCGGAGUUAACACAAUAAGUAUUCCACCUGGGGAGUACGGCCGCAAGGCUGAA